rnacentral:rRNA from 1 species
GACUCGGCGGGACGGUCCGCCCUUCGGGUGAGUACUGUCUGUGGUCGGGUCCUACCUUCUGGCGAAGCGUCAUCGCCUUAACCGGCCGUGGCGGGGAACCAGGACUUUUACUGUGAAAAAAUUAGAGUGUUCAAAGCAGGCAAUUCGCUUGGAUACAUUAGCAUGGAAUAAUGGAAUAGGACAAUGGUUCUAUUUGUUGGUUUCUAGGACUGUUGUA